GACGCUGGCGGUAGGCUUAACACAUGCAAGUCGAGCGAGAAAGUAUCUUCGGAUAUGAGUAGAGCGGCGGACGGGUGAGUAACGCGUAGGAAUCUACCUAGUAGAAGGGGAUAGCCCGGGGAAACUCGGAUUAAUACCGUAUACCUCCUAAGGGAGAAAGAGGGCCUCUCUUGAUGCUCUCGCUAUUAGAUGAGCCUGCGUAAGAUUAGCUUGUUGGUAAGGUAAUGGCUUACCAAGGCUACGAUCUUUAGCUGGUCUGAGAGGACGAUCAGCCACAUUGGGACUGAGACACGGCCCAGACUCCUACGGGAGGCAGCAGUGGGGAAUAUUGGACAAUGGGCGCAAGCCUGAUCCAGCCAUACCGCGUGUGUGAAGAAGGCCUUCGGGUUGUAAAGCACUUUAAGCAGGGAGAAAAAGUUAUAAGUUAAUACCUUAUAACCGUGAUGUUACCUGCAGAAUAAGCACCGGCUAAUUCCGUGCCAGCAGCCGCGGUAAUACGGAAGGUGCAAGCGUUAAUCGGAAUUACUGGGCGUAAAGCGCGCGUAGGUGGUUUGUUAAGUUGGAUGUGAAAGCCCUGGGCUCAACCUAGGAACUGCAUCCAAAACUAACUCACUAGAGUACGAUAGAGGGAGGUAGAAUUCAUAGUGUAGCGGUGGAAUGCGUAGAUAUUAUGAAGAAUACCAGUGGCGAAGGCGGCCUCCUGGAUCUGUACUGACACUGAGGUGCGAAAGCGUGGGUAGCGAACAGGAUUAGAUACCCUGGUAGUCCACGCCGUAAACGAUGACAACUAGCUGUUGGGAGACAAUGUCUUUCAGUGGCGCAGCUAACGUUUUAAGUUGUCCGCCU
rnacentral:rRNA from 1 species